AACGAACGUUAGCGGCGCGCUUAACACAUGCAAGUCGUGCGAGAAAGGGAGCAAUCCCCGGUAAAGCGGCGCACGGGUGAGUAACACGUAGGUAACGUGCCCCCAGGUGGUGGAUAACCUUCCGAAAGGAGGGCUAAUACAGCAUAAGACCACGGCUUCGAAAGGAGCUGAGGUCAAAGUCGGCCUCUAUUCAUAAGCUGACGCCAGGGGAUCGGCCUGCGGCCCAUCAGGUAGUUGGUAGGGUAAUGACCUACCAAGCCUAAGACGGGUAGCUGGUCUGAGAGGAUGAUCAGCCACACUGGAACUGAGACACGGUCCAGACUCCUACGGGAGGCAGCAGUGGGGAAUCUUGCGCAAUGGGCGAAAGCCUGACGCAGCGACGCCGCGUGAGUGAUGAAGGCCU
rnacentral:rRNA from 1 species